UCUUGGAGUCUAUAUAUAUUUAAAAAGCCAUUUUAUUACAGUCAUAACAUUUUUCACACUUUAAGAUUUUUCUCUGCUCUUUAUUUCCCCUUUAGGUCUUACCUAAGAAAAUACAAGUCCAGAGUGUUCUGUACAAAAAAGUACAUGAGCAUACAAACAGAAUAUUUAUUUAUUGAAUUGAAUAAUUUAUCUCUACAUUUCCAAAUACUUUGUCAAGAAGACUUUUUUUUCCAAACCUCAAAAUAGUAAAGCUGCUUCUGAAAGCCUUGGUCAUUGCUUUACCCAGAGACAGUGGGAGGUGUGAAAAUAGGAGCAUAGUCUCUGUGAGAGGGGGUGUAGGUGGUGGUCAGGACCUGGCCCAAGGCAUUAGCCUGUCUGCCUUUGAAUCUCAGCAUUUCCAUUUGCCAGCCAUGUCACCUUAGGCAAUUUACUUAGUUUCUCUGUCUUAAAUUACUGUCUGUAAAUUAGUGCUGACUGUAAUAAUACCUAAUGCAUAGGCUUUUGAGGAUUGAAAAUAAAUGUGUAUUAUAUUUAGGGAGUGUCUGAUACAUAGUAAGUGCUACAUUAAGUGCAUGCUGUAAUCAUCUGGUCUUUCUCUCUAAGGCAUGGUUUUUACUUGACAUGAAUGUUAAUAGAAGACAUGCAGCAGCCCCAAGAUGGCCUGAAAGAUACACAGCACCACUACAAAUGGCCUGAGGCAGUCUCUGGGCCAUUUAUCUUUCAGAAUAAUUCAGGGCUCACAUGAGUUGAGCCCAGAGUGGAGCUGUCAUGAGUGAGGGCCUUUGGAGUCAAGCAGGAUAGGGAUUAAAUCUUGACCCUCUGACCUGUAAACUGGGUGACCUUGGGCAGGUCACUUACUUGUGAGCCUUGGUUUCUUAACCUGUGAAGGAUCUUUGGAGAGGGAUUAAAAGAGGCAAAGUAUGGAAAGCACUUUGCACUUGGUCCGUGGUAAGUGCUCAAUAAAAGCUAAUUUAUAAAAUCAUUAUGACUAAGUCCUGGAGGGAGGCAAUUCAAAAGCUUAGACUAGGAAGAGUCAAACAACAUUUUCUCCCUUUAUGUCUUUAUUUUCCCUGGGUGUAAGGUUAAAAAAAAAAAAUCCUUUGCUGGAAAAAAAGUCUCAAAAAGCUACUAAUGUUAACUGCAUGUUGAUUAGUUAAAUUCAGUUAUUCAGGAUAGGUGGGAAAUGUUUGACAGAUUAGACCAAAUUACAGCUGAAGUGUAAGAACAUAAACAUUCCUGUUUGCAGCGCAAAUCAGCAUUUUACUCUAGGGCUGUAUCUAUGUACAUAUUAAAAAACCUAUGUUCUUCUAAAUCACCAUUUUGAUGGGGUUUUUAAAACUUUUCAAAGAGUUGCUUUUCUUCCAUGUUUUAAGGGAAAUUAAACUAUAUAUACAAAUUAAACUAUAUAUACAUUUAAGUGCAAAAAUCACUGUUGUUGAUAUUUGCCUCUAAUUUCAUAAUACAGUUGUAGUUAUUGUGAGAUGUAGCAUACUUAUAUGAACAGUGUUGAAUACAGCUGCUUUGUAGCUGUAACAAUCACUUUUUGCUCUUACAGUCAGCUCAAAUUUUAGAUAUCACAUCAACAAAUGCUUAGUGCAUUUCAUAAGCAGAGGAGCAUGAUAAACAGAAUAAAACUUAAAGCAAAGUCUUAAAAACUUGUCUCAAGUAAAUGGCCUUUUAUUUUAGCCCAGUUGAAAUAAUUACCCAAAAGUGAAAGACAUUCUCUCUGAUGGGACAUGAUAUAAAAAGUGAUGGGGAAAGUAAUUGAGCCCCCAGGAGUCUGGGAACGAAGCCCUGGCCUUUUCCUCUCCCUUUGCUUCCCUGGGUACCAUUGAUUCCUGUCCCAGAAGGCACAUCAGCUUCAUGGAGAAAUCACCUGUUGAUUCUCAAUGGCUCCUCAUGAAUUGCUGGUCAUUUGAGACAGACAUUAGUGCCAAGAUUUUGCUUACUUCAUCUAGGCUGUUCAAAAAAUGUCCACUAAUGAUUAGAAAACUUUAUUAAAGAGUUCCCAGCUUUCAAAAUCGACUUCAUUGUAUUUUAUUUAAAAAUAUUUACAUAAAAACUAUUCAAAAUAAAACAUUAAAAAGGUUUAUGAUGAAAAAAUUAGAAAAUAUUACUAUGGUACACUCACUGUAUUGUAUACCUGUAACAUAUAUUAUACAUCAACUGCGAUCAAUAAAAAAUAAAAAUAAAUUUAAAAAAAUGGAAUAAAGGUAGGAUAUACUAUUAACAUAAAAAGGUAAGACCCAGAAUCAUAAAUUGAUUUGUAAAUGCUAUUAGUAACAUCAUGUGUAUAUUUUAUUGUAAGGACUUAAAAAACCACAUAGUCUGUGAACUAAGAACUAAGAAAACCUAGAAUGAAACUACAUUACUUUAAAUGGAAAGUGCUGAAAUGGAGCACUCAGCAUUAACUAGUCUCUGGUUCCAGCCUAUUCUGCUCUCUAAUACCCUUUUAUUCACAUCGCUUUGUACAUGUUGCUUUUUUUGCCUCACCGUCUCCCACUCAAACAUAAGUUUAAAUCUAACUAUCACAACUAUCUAACUGGUGAUAAUAACAGUUCCCAUUUAUUCUUAGCCAGCUAUACACUAAGCGCCGUGUGGGGUUUUCUAACAUUCCAUCCUCACAGCUACUAUAUGAGGCACAUACCCUCAUGUUACAGAUUAAUACAAGAUAAAAUGCAGGCAAUUCAUUUUCUUGUCCAAAGUCACAUGUUAAGUGGCAGACUGGGAGAAUCAGUUCCCACCUGACAUUUAAGGCCUUCUUCCAUCUGGACCAUGCUUCUAUUAAGAAAUGCUACACUGUAGCCCCAUAGGUCUAUUUACUGUUGUCUAAACUCUCUAUGAGGGUUUCUUGUACUACAGCUCCAUUCUAUGAGAGCCAGUUAUGUCCCAUCUUCAUUAUCCAUCCAUUUGUUCAUUUGCUUCAUGGAGAAAUCACCUGUUGAUUCUCAAUGGCUCCAUAUGAAUUGCACACCUCAAUAUGCCAGGCACUGUGGUAGGUGCCACUGUGGAUCAUUUCCAAGUCUAUGUUGACUGCUCCCUGAUUGUUAAGGUCUUUUUGUAUACUUUGUCUCCCCAGUGGUUUACAACUACAGGUGGGAACCUUUAGGGAACAUUUGAAAAUGUGUGAUAUCUUUGUUAUUAUAGUGUCUCUAUACAAUAACUAUGAUGUAUAUUAUAGAGGUGCCACUGGUACUUGGUGCCUGAAGGCCUGGUAUAUUAAAUAAUGCACAAUGUAUGGGAUAGUCCCAUACAGUGUAGAAUUGUCCUACCCCAAAUUAUAGCAGUGCCCUCCUCCAGAAGCUCUGCUGCAAAUGGAUCUAAGGUAAAGGGUUUUUUUUUUUUUUUUUUUUUUUUUUUUUAACUAAAUCCUCUGUAUCUUUUCCAAGCUUUGUAUACUACUUAUUGAAAGCGGCUUUCUAUAACGAUGAUGUUCUUGUGAUUAACCACAAAGCUUAGGCAAGAUUUUCAGAGAGAUUCAUUCUGGGAGACCUGGGAUGCGAUGAUUUCUAAGACUGAUUUAGAUGAAAGAAAAUUAUGUUUUCUGGAGCAAAUAGGAAACUUCUUUCCAUUCAUAUGUGAAAACUUGAGACUAUAGAAAUAUAGCAACUCCUUCCUUGACUCAUUAAACAUUCCCCCCAAAUAUUUCCAUGUACCUCCUAAAGGAGGCAGUAGAGUUCACAACUGUUUCGAAGGUUAUGUUUACUUGUUUUCAAGUCACCAGGCCAUGAACCGAGGCCACAACCCCUUCAAGAUGCACUGAUUUUAAGCAGACUAAUAAGAUGCUCUGAUAAAUGAUAUUUGAGAGAAACAGUCUGUUCCUCAUAGGCAGUGGACAUUUGUCAUUUUUAUUUGGUCGCCUAGUAUCUAAACUUCUUAUUCUUGGGGAAUCCUUGAUCAGGUGUAGUCUUGGUGGGAGGCAGGAUUUCCAACUCACCCCUUCUUAGCUGCCAGGACACGAGCACAGGAUUUAGGCCUGGACAGUCAGAUACUGAGGCUCAGGAUCUUGGCGCUCAAGUGGGUGACUCAAAGAUGAAAGGUCAGCUAGAAUUUAUUCCUGGUAGUAGGAAGUGAUGCCAACUGCUGAUGGUGGCAGUGCCCUGCACCAGGGCUACUAGUGGGAGCCUAGCCGAUGUCCUUGUUCAGAGAUAAUGUCUCUUCUGCUUCUUCAUCCUCUAGAGCUUCCUGGGGUCUUGGUCUAUUCAGGCUGCUAUAACAAAAUGCCACAGAUCAGGUGGCUUAUAAACAAUAGAAACACUUUUCACAGUUCUGAAACCUGGAAGUAUGACAUCAGGGUGCCAGCAUUGUUGGGUGAGGACCUGUUUCCGGCUGCAGAUUUCUUGUAUCCUCACAAGAAGGGGCUUGGGACAUCUUUGGGUCUCUUUUAUAAGACCCGCAUUCAUCCAGUUCAGCAGGGCUCCAUCCUUGUGACCCAAUCACCUCCCAAAGCCCCUACCUCCUAAUACUAUUACAUUGGGUGUUAGGACUUCAACAUAUGAAUUUUGGGGAGAUACAACCAUUCAAACCAUAACAUUGGGUUUCUGUGGCAGAGACUACUAGAUUCCUCAAUAUACUUUUAAGAAAAAUUCCCCCUACAUCCCAAAUUUUAGCUUGGUGUUGAGCUAUCUACCUAGAGACUCGAUUUUUCUGGCUUCCCUUGUAGCUAGGUGUGACCAAGUGACUAAUUUUGGCCAGUUGGCAGAAGGUGGGAGUGACGGGCACAACUUUUACAUCACAGCUUUGAAAGGAAGCUGUUUACUCAUUAUUUCCUCAUUCUCCUUUCAUUGGCUGGAUGUGGUGCUAGUGAGGCAACCUCGUUGAUGAAGACAACAUCUUAGAGAAUAGAAAGCCAAGGGGAAGGAGCCCGGUUAGAGCAGCCUAUAUUCCUUGUUCCCUUCUCUUCACACAGGAAAGAAACAAAUUUUUUGUGUUGGUUAAGUCACUGUUACUUGGCCUCUGCUAAAGAAGCAGGAUCUAUAUCUUAAUUACUAGAUUUACUACUAUUUUCUAAGUCUAGAAACUUCCUGUUGUUCCAUAGCCCCUCAAUGACUUUCCAACAAGUUUCCUUUUGUUUAGAAUUAUCAGAAUCUAUUUCUGUUUUUUGCUACUGUUAAUAGGCAUAUUUAGAUAAAUACACCUAAAAAUGUGGAAUUGGCUGAUUCCAGGGAUUUGAGGUGAGAGCAAUGAAGUCUCACUAUCCAAAUCUGGAAAACUGUUCUUAAUCCUAGUAAUGGAACAGCUAGUUGACCUAAGCCCCACUGUGAUUUGAUUCUUAGAUCUUUUGCCUACAAGGGCAGCAGCAUUAGGAAAUUUGGCAGACAAAAAUGAGGAUAUUGGAGUAUUUUGACUCCUUGCAAGCUUUAGUAAGGUCUUACUAAAAAAGGUAUGCUUAGCCUGAAAUUGAAAAGAGAGAGAGGGAGUUCCCAUUUGGGGCACAGUGGAAACGAACUGGACUAGGAACCAUGAGGUUGUGGGUUUGAUCCCUGGCCUCACUCACUGGGUUAAGGAUCCGGCAUUGCCAUUGAGCUGUGGUGUAGGUUGCAGAUAUGGCUCAGAUCCUGCAUUGCUGUGGCUGUGGUAUAGGCCGGAAACUGUAGCUCCAAUCUGACCCCUAGCCUGGAAACCUCCAUAUGCU
rnacentral:lncRNA from 1 species